AGGAGGAGGAGGAGGAAGGGGAGGAGGAGGAGGAGGAGGGCCUACCGGGACCGCGCGAGCUCUUUCUUCCUCCUAUAGUUCCGGCUCGCCGCCUCCGGUGGAGGGAGACGGAGCGAGCGGUGCAGCGUCUGGUUUGGAAUUUUGGCGCGCGUGGACCCGGAGGCUCCCCGCCCUUUGGCCACCUGCCGGCUGCUUCCCGCCUUCUAGGCUGCAAACGCAAAUGCAAAUGCAAAAUGCAAAAAACAACAAGUCCUUCAACCCGCUGCAAGGCGAGCACUCUGCCGCCUUUGAGACAAAAGAGGUUUUUUUUGUUGUUGUUGAUGAUGAUGAUGAACGAAGGAAAGUAAUUUAUAAGCUAAUCGACCUUAAUGAGAGUUUAAAAGAGUUGACAAUAGCCGUUGGGAUAGACGGAGUCAUAGGAUGCGUACCAGGGAUAAGAGUGUAAAAAUCCUAAUCUUACAGAAGCCUAACUUGUUGUAAACCGUUAAAGGUGAUUAAGACACGCAAGUUAAUGGUUAGUCACCUUAUAAAUGACCAAAUUCUUUAGUGUGUGCUUAGAACUGUGUAUGUAUUCAUGCUAACUACAAAUGCAGUCCAUUAACAGACACGAACUUUAAGCCUUCUGUGUAUGUCAGGGUUAAACCUAAAGCAAGUAACUAAAAACAAGUUUUUAAAAAUCAGAUACACUCAAGAGAUUGGAUGACAGCCCUCAAAGAGAAUUUGCUGAUUGACAGCAAUAUCAACUUGUGGUAACAGCCGCUGAGGUAGCCCCAAAGAAGAUGGGCAGCAAGGGACUCUACCUGGCCCUGCUGCAAGUGUAGUUACUCAGACCCCGUUUCACACACCACCAGGGCCUGUCUGAAGUGUGGACACUGGUUGACUGCUGUACUCUGCCUCGAGAAAGUAGUUCUGUUCCCCUAGAAUUCCUAUAAAGACUUAACGGUGCCGCUUUGAGUGGUGGUGUGAAACUGAGGGCCUUUGCCCCAAACCCAGUCAUCAAGAUCACCUUGGAGCAGCCCAGGAUGGCUGUUCAGGUAGCAGAGCGGGCUGGCAGCCUCAGCGAUGGAUGAAGGGGGUCAGGAAGCUCACACCUGACCGUCCAACACCACCAGGCCUCCCACCCCCCACCCGAUGGCGACCAGGUCCACGCAGCGCAGCGCGAGCGCCCCAGCUUGGCCGGGGGAGGCCUCUCCGUGGACCCCACCCUGCCUCCCA
ensembl:lncRNA